GUGAGCCUUCUUUGUGGAAUCUGAAACUGUUGUGUAGAAAGAUAUGUCGUUGAAUAUGCCUCAAAGUUGAGCCUUGAGCCGUGAUGCAACUUUGAAGUGCAUUCCAUAUGGCCAAAGCAAUUGUCCCCAUUUUGUUGUCUGCUCUAAUGGAAUCAAAUUUUAGGUUUCAAGCUAAGCUGCUUACUUUAUUUCAAAUGUUCUUUUAACCUAUCAUUUCAGAUUCAGAUACCCUUUGUAAGGAAAAAUGGAAAACAAUGUUAUAGCUUAACUAUCAUUUUAAAUUAAUUUGUUAACAGAAGCCCUUAUAUUGUUUUUGUGGAUUUUGAAGGCUUUUUGUUGUUCAAAAUCAUAUUGAGG
rnacentral:misc_RNA from 1 species